UUGUCAAUAAAUAUCUUAGUAAUAUUCUAAAAUUAUUCUUUGUUUUCUUUAUGCAAGCAAUUCUUGCAAAUAAUUCUUUCCUUUAUUUCUUCUUCUUAUUUUUUAUUAUUUAUAUUUAUUAUUUUUUAUUAUUAAUUUUGUAUGCACCUUUUUAAUCACUUUUAUGUAAAGCACUUCCAUUGUGUAUGAAAAGUGCAAUCUAAAUAAGCUUGCCUUGCAUUAAUUUCUUUAAAUAUAUGAAAUAUGGUCUGAAUAUGUUCUUUACAAUGAGUUUCCGUUGAUGUGUUACGCUCUCUGUGUCUUUCAGAUGAUCCACGUGAGUUUUCCGCUGCUGGAAAGUGAAGACAUUGACCCCGAGCGGCUGAACCUGCAGUAUUAAACGGUCUGGUGCUAAAUGCAUCAGCGCUGAAGCUCAGGGCUGAGCUGUGAUUGCCAUUAAGUGAUCCAUCAUUUGACAGUGAAUUUGGGCCCGGAGUUGAGUGGCCUCAUAUGCCUCUUCAGCGAUCUGCCCCCUUUUCAGGGAUUCCUGUGACAGGAUGCUGGACACUCAAUGACUCAUGUCAGGGGAAUUAUUAAGUUUGCCCACAAAACCAGUGCAAAUAACUCAGCGCUGACCUGCCGGAUGGCUUUGGAAGGGCAACCUCCCAGAGGGAGGGCGUUCGGAGCUUAAUUAGAAUGUCAGGAGACACUUUCAAAGUAGUCUGAGAUGAGAGUCCACUCCAAUGGGAAACCCGAGCAGAUCGUCUUUCCCAGUUCAAGGCAAACUGUUGAAUGGGAUCAGACACAAGGAAUCACACCUUCCACGACGGCUCCACUGGUAGCAUCUCGCUAAGGUCAAGUCGUUUUCGUGACGGCCUCCCUGAAGCGGCAGCUGGCCGGGAUAAGGUUACGAUUUCACCUGCGCACUGCAGUAACGCAGGAACUGGCGUGUCAUUGAGGAGCGGAAAAACACAGGAAGCUUUUUAGUUCUGGUGCAGCAUAAUGAAGAGCAAAGCAUGUGCUUCAGAUACUAACUAUUGCAUCUCUACCAUAUGGGAAGGCAAUAUUGGAAGUGCUGCUUUAGUGGAUUCCUGGGGAACCUCCUGUUACCAUCACUGAACUUCCUGCAGAAAGACGGGCUGAUUUAGUGCUCAGGGAUCCAAGAGAAAUAUCUCCACCUGGGUCAGAGUACAGCGAACCACCGAACCCUCAGAAGUGACCAUUUAUACAAGAGUUCAGGAGUCUGUGCGGCGUCCCGAACCGUGUGGGUUUGAAGCCUUGGACCGUGGUGAAGGGGCUAUUUGAGCAGAUGCUGUGCAUUCUUGGGUUUGUUCGAGCGGAUCCCUCCUCAUGAGCGGAGGCUUUACUUUCCCAAAGCUGAUAUUAAUAUCACAGACCAUUGUGAUGGAGUUAUUUUCAUGGAAGCCCAGGAGGAAGUCAUGUGACUCUAAUUAGUCCCCGGGGGCCGCAGGGUCUCCAUUACGUGCCUUGUUUUAACUCACAUAACCAUCAAUGAAGUGGAAAGGCUGAGGAAGUAGCAAUCACUGCGCCUGGGCGGCUGGUUUUAUUUUAAUGUUUUCUUGAGCACCUAUUUUGUUAAUGGGCCCAAAAUCUGAGGAAAAAAAAGUGUCUUCUCUCUUUUUUUCCCCCUUGACGUUUUUUUUAGCUUUAAAAAUGAUGAAAUGAUCAUGUGAGCGUGAACUCUUAUCCACUAGCGGGAAGAUUAAUGAUUCUGGGAUUUGUUGGUUCACACCCUGUACAGCACAUGGGAAAAAUCAGGAAUGACGGACACACUUGCACGUAUACAACCAUUAAAUGUGUCGUUCCUGUUCGCCAGCACCUUAUGAACUCUAAUCUAUGACAUCAAUAUGCUUGUGUUAUAUAUCUAUAUCUAUAUCUAUAAAGUUUUUAAUACAACUCCAAUUACAAAAGAGUACAAAAACACAAAAUAGAAAAAAAAAAAAAAAAAAAAUUUAUUAAAAAAUGAACAAAUUUUGAAAACACCAAUUUUCACUAAUUCCCCCCCACCAGACAAAUCUAAAGGGAUUUUUAUAAAAGAUUAACAGGAAAAAAAGAAAAACAUGUUUCGUCUGUAACAUUUUGAUGUAAAAUUCACCCCUAAGUUCACUUAUUUGAUAAAAGAAACUGUGAAAAAUCACUUUAUUGAUACUAAUUCAGUCUUUCUACUUCAAAAUGUGUUACUUGCUGUAUCUUUGUAAUUAUUUGUGAAAUUUACUAGCAAUUUCUAAGUGAAAAUUGCUGUAACUAAUAUGAUUUAAAUAUUCAAAAAUGAUGACACAUAUGACGGGGACAUGAACAUAAACAUCAUAGUAUGACCCAAAUGCUUCUGACUUCAAAAUCCCGCUCAGUAAAACAGUACAAAAGUGCAGCGAACAGAUUUUCUCCGUCAGAAAGGUAGCUACUUAAACACGUGACAGCAAUAACAGACAGUGCCACAUGCACACUUCCCAUAAUUCUGUGAAUUCACCUCUCUUCCUGACCUAAUAGCUUCCAUUUACUGCUGGGCCCGUUCCAAAGGAAAGUGUAGAGUUGGGCCAAAAUCCGCGGACAGCUACUGAUGAGAUCUGCCGAGUCCAAAAAUGUGAGCGUAAUAAAACAGCGGCAUGAGGAAAAGCUGGACGUCCUCCUGGGCUGCAUUAGCGAGGUGAGAUUAUUCUGAAAUUAGGCUUGCAACUGACAUUCUCGUAUAACGUGUUUUGGAAGGCAUUAAGGAAGAUGAACGGUGUGUUUUUGAGCGUUCGUGAAUAGAGGACGAUGAAUUGUUUGAAUAACAAUAUGGCGGAUGGGAGUCGAAUUAUUCAGUGUAAUUGUUCCAGAUUCUUUAAUUGGUCAUGGGCCGAACACUAUGUGCUGAAAUGAACAAAUGUGGCUGAAUGCAUUCUCCAUAUUUCGGCCGUCCAGACGGUAAUACAAUGAAUGUGAAAUGAGAGACUGAAGAUGUAUCGUAUUGAAUCUCUUCCUUGGACCGUCGUCAGGAUGCAUUUAUGGUUUUUCCUUUAGCAGUGAGCAGGUCAAAGGGCGACGCGAGGUCGUGACAGAACACAAUCAUCCAUUAACGCUUAAACAGACAUGAAUGGAAAA